rnacentral:lncRNA from 1 species
GGGAGCGGCCGAGAGCGCCCAGGUACUCGCGGCGGGGCGGGACAGGCCUGGGCGGCGGGCGGCCCCUCGACCCAACCCCUCGGACGUCCCCCGUUCGCCCCCGCCCAGGUGCUCGGAGGGAGCCCGAGCACGGGGUUCCGUCCCGCCGGCGAGCUGUGAUGCUGCUUCGGGGACCGCGCGCCAGGCUGGCGACUCCCUAGGACGCCGCCCGCACCUGCCCACCAGGCCCCUGCCGUCAGGGUUCGCCCACCGUCCUGAUGCCACUAGGCCAGAGACGGGCGUCUCACUUUUAACUCCUUUUUUAUUUCCACCCUGUCUCAAAUUCUUCGUUGCGACUGUGGCUUCACGCCUUAGCCAUCCCCCCAACUUCUUUAGUAGGCAAGACCGUUGCAGGGGUCGUGUUUCCAAAAGGGCCCUGCCGGCAGGGAGCCUUCCCACGACGAGCUUGCCUUUAGCACUCCAAUUCCUACCAUACUACGAUAAAACCCUCUCUCCUUGCUUUUAUCCUAGAACAUUCUGGGCUCAGAAAGCCCAGCCCCUCUCUGAAGGGUGGUGCUGGGUUGCUUUCCUCUGCCUCAAAUGCUGUGUUCCAACAACUGUCACUUCCUCCUGUCUCAGAAGGAUGAGGGUUCCAUCUUCUGUCCUGCACAUCACUCUCAGUGCCUCCAGCCUCUCUCGCUUCUGACACCACUUGGGCUCUGUGUUUUGAUAGUUGUGGAGGGCCAGUGGGGAAGAUGGAUAUCAGGGCCUGACUCAGGGUGUCAGGGUCCUCUUGAAUUGGGGCUGAAUGUACUCCCCAGGUCUCACUUGUGGCUGACAGAGCCUGCAGGAUGUUUCACGGGAUCCCAGCCACUCCCGGCAUGGGAGGUGAGUAUGUCUGCACCGAGCAGAACAGGAAGGGCCCAGGCUUAUGCUGUGGUGGGACUGAUGGGAAUGUGUUAGGGGAGGGAGUCAUUAAGUCACCGACCUCCCCCCACCUUCAUACUGCCUUGGAGGUGGCCAGAGAUAAACAGUAAGAGCCCCAAGACCUCCAGGUAGAGCUAGCCUGGCCUUGUUCAGCACAGAGAUGAUGAGCUUCAGUGUGCACAGAGCAUCGGCAUCCUGGGGAUUCCUGCAUUGAGCCCAAGUUGUAAGGUGUGUGACAAGCCUUAUUUGCACCACACUGUGGCAUUGUAAACAAAGUGGGGUUCUCCCUGUUGUGCAGCUAGGCCUGCCAUAGCCAUUCAAAACCAGUAUCCUGCCCACUGACUGGGAGUGAAAAUGGAACCCCCAUCCUUCAGCUCCAUCUAAGUUCUUUGGGAUAGAGCUCAGGAGAGGCCUGAGGGAGGAAACUGAAUGGGGCUGGGAUCAGAAACUGCCCUGGGGUCACUUUGUGGCCAGCCUAAUAGCUCUCUGCCUACUCUGUUGCAGCCCCUGGAAACAAGCCAGAGCUGUAUGAGGUGAGUGUCAGGUGCCCACCUGGCCAGUGUUGGCCCACAGCAAACAGCUGUGUGGACCCCCACUGGCCGCUGGGGCCACCAGAUGCAACUGGGUAACAUGUUACGUACUCUCUCCAACAGGAAGUGAAGUUGUACAAGAAUGCCCGGGAGAGGGAGAAGUAAGUCAAGCAUCCAGGCUGCCCCCAGCAUGCACCUGUGCCCAUCCAAGCCUUCUGGGAGUAGCCACUCCCAAACCCGCCACCACAUUGGUAGUUGGGGAAGACAACAUGGGUCACAUGGUUGGGGAAGACAACAUGGGGUCAGGUUUGGGGGACAUUUUCCAAGGAACAUCUGCCAGGGAUGGGCUGAGAGGUGGGCUGACAGUUCCACCGUAGCUGCGUCCCAUUGUGGGAGGCUUCCCUGCUUCAGGGCCGUGCCUGAUGGUCAGAUCAUCUCAGGUAUGACAACAUGGCAGAGCUGUUUGCAGUAGUGAAGACAAUGCAGGCACUGGAAAAAGCAUACAUCAAGGACUGCGUCACCCCCAACGAGUGAGCAAGCCCACUACCCUUCAAUGUCCAAAGGGUACCCUACCUUGGGAGCCAAUUUCUACGCUCUGCAAGGCAGAGGGGCUCAGUAGGCAGCAGAAAUAGUGGUCUGGGGCUUCUACUGGGGCACUCACUUCUGUAGGGCUCCCAGCACCAUGGUAAUGCUCCUGGGUGCUAGGUGGCCUCAGUGCUAUUUCAACCAGGGAAACCUUGCAUGGGUGGAAAGAUAUCUAGUGAAGGACAGACAUGCAAAUGUGUGUGCUCCUGGCCCUGUCUGCCAGGCAUGGGUGACCAGAUUCAUGGAAAGUCCUUGGAGGCCAGGAGGGAGGUUGGGGAUGUCUAGUAGGAGGCAGUGCUACUUAGGCCUGGCACCCAGUGUGGAUGUGGGGGUUUCAUUCAGUGAGGUAAUAAGCCCAGCAAGCCAUUGGCCCCUCAGGACAAUGUGAACCUGUGCCAAUGUGAGUCUUAUCCCCUGUGGCCAUUGUAUUUUGGCCUCUGCUCUCUCCCAGAAUUCUUGUCUUGUACAGACUUGAUGGCAAGCCUCAGCCCUCAGUGUCCAGUCUCUGACUCCAUCACCUGGUCUUCCAUGAGAGCCACUGUGUCUGAACAGGCUGGGGAAAGCAGGAUGAGCGGGGGCUGGUUUCAGGCAUGGGUAGCAGCUGGCCCUUUCACUAGGUACACUGCAGCCUGCUCUCGGCUCCUGGUCCAGUACAAAGCUGCCUUCCGGCAGGUUCAAGGCUCAGAAAUCAGUUCCAUUGAUGAAUUCUGCCGCAAGUUCCGCGUGAGUGAGCCACUCUCUCCACACCACAGGAAGGGUGCGGUGGGGUGCCCCUGAGAAGAGGCCAUGGCCUGCAUAGGGCCUGCCCUUUUGCAAGACUGAGCACCUGCAUCUGCUCCCUUCAGCUGGACUGCCCACUCGCCAUGGAGAGGGUUAAGGAAGACAGGCCCAUCACCAUCAAGGAUGACAAGGGCAACCUCAACCGCUGUAUUGCUGAUGUUGUCUCAGUAAGCCCAGUCUCCUGGGAGGGCGGGAGGACUUGCUGCAGCCCAUCGCUGGUAUAGAGUCCCAGGGCCUCAGCUGAGCAGCAUCCCAAAGCCCACCUGGCUGCCCAUAGGCACCUAUGAGACAGGCACAGGGUCCACUCUGGCAAGAUCCUGGCCUGGGAAAGUUGUAUGUAGGUGUACCCAUAGUUUCCACAUAGCUCUCCUUGCAGCCAGGAGACACCCCCAGGAGGGUCCUGUACAUAAUGCCCCAGACAGGAAGGAGCCCCAGGGCUUCGGGAUCAGGUAUGGUGAAGAACCUGAGGUGGGAGCAGCAGGCAGGCUAGGCCUUGGGCCUGGCCCUGCAGGGGAACCUGCCAGGGGCCUCCCUACACCAAGCUGGUCUGUGAAACCUCGUACACGCCCCCCCCAGCUCUUCAUCACAGUAAUGGACAAACUGCGCCUAGAAAUCCGCGCCAUGGACGAGGUAAAGGAGUCAGACGGAAUGGGGACUGGGUGGGUGGGGAGGCAGGGCCAGAGUCCCAGCCCCUCACCUGUGUCUGCAGAUCCAGCCUGACCUGCGGGAGCUGAUGGAGACCAUGCACCGCAUGAGCCACUUGCCCCCAGACUUCGAGGGCCGCCAAACAGUCAGCCAAUGGUGAGUGCCUCUCCUAUGUAGGCCCUCAGCGAGGGGCCCUCAUGGCCUUGCUGCCCACACCCCCACUCACUCUGCUUCCAGGCUACAGACCUUGAGCGGCAUGUCAGCAUCUGAUGAGCUGGAUGACUCCCAGGUACGGCAAAUGCUCUUCGAUCUGGAGUCCGCCUACAACGCCUUUAACCGCUUCCUGCACGCCUGAGCCUCAGAGUGGCCCAUGGGGGAUGGGGGAUGGGGGAUGGCUACCUAGGGGACCAUUCCCCACUUCCUCUGGCCACACCCACCCUGGACAGCUUUGUGAGACUUGAUGUCCAGAGCAGCUGUCUGUGUCUGUGUUGUCAAGACUCACCCCCAAUAAAGAUGCUAUUGUUCUGCC